rnacentral:lncRNA from 1 species
ACCGGAAGUAUCAGAAAUGGCGAAGUUGCCAGGAAGUGAGCCCUUCAAGUCAGUGGGCACCUCCUAAGGAUUUCUCGGACUUGUGUGUGUGUUCUAGCUUCCUUCCUGUGGCUCUGAUACAAACUCUGGCCCAAAGCAACUCGAGGAGAAAAGGCUCUACUUAGCUGAGCCAACUCUUCGGAAGCCUCUCUUGGGCAACCCCUCACUGGUGCCCUUCCUUCCUUGAUGCACACUUGCAAAGCUGUCAUCCAAAUUCCGUU